AUUGCCAUUCCCCGCCUACCUCCAUGAAUUAGAAUUCCAUUCCUACUUCUUAAAAUAAUAAAAAGGGAAAAAGAAAUUUUCCAAAAAAAGAAAAGCACACAAACCCCCUCAAAAGCCCUUCCCUCUACACGAUUCCAACUUUCUAACCUUCUCUCCCUCCUUUCUCGUCACUCUCUCCAUUGCUGUUAAAAUUUGAAGAACGGUUCUGGACUGUAACUCCGGCGACGGCGAGACCAGAUCAAACCACAGUGAGAUUGGACAAGACUCUCUUAAACAUUCUCCUGUAAUCCAAACAAAACUUAAUCAAAAACCUUGGAAAGAUGAACUCCAUAUUGAAGCAGACAUUGACCCUUUUGAGAGGGACAAGUUUUCCAACAAUCCAUUAAGUUCAGUGCAUCAGCAGCUUUAGCAGUGGAGAGGGAUUCGAGUGCAGGUACGGAAUGGGAAUCUGGAGCAGGCAAUGACAGUGAUGCAACGUAGGAUGAGGGCAAGUGGGAUGGAAUACCUGAUAAAACGUCAGUCAAGAUACCACAUCAAGAAUUCUGAGGAACGCAUCUUUGCCCAGAAGAACUUGCUGGAGCGAAAGAUCCGUUCUGAAGAGCUUUCUUGCAAACUCUAUGCCAUUCUUAGCAAGAAAGUCAGGUGACUCUAUGAAUAAAGCCAGAAGAGAGGGAGAAGAUUGAUUUGGAGAAAGGAGAAAGAAGAGAAGACUGUUUGUCUACCUGGCUUUUCUUUCAUUGAUGCUUGUACGACUCUCCAAUUGAUACAACAAAUUACAUGCAAAUGACAUAAAUACCCCUGUCUACGGAACAGGCAUAGAAAACUAAUUAAUUACUUCGUAACUGUGGGUCCACCUAUUUCGUCUCCUAGUCUUUCAACACUCCUUGCCAAGCUGAGUAUAGAUAUCAAUCGUACCCAUUUUUGCUUACAUUAUGGUUCAGCUUAGAUUUGACUACUUUGUAAAUAAUACCUCCCAUUUGAUUUUUAGAUGCUACAUAAGACACAUUUUUGCAGACAGCACUUCCUCCCUGAAGGGGUUUCUGAGAGCAAAUUCAAAUGUCUGUUUAGUUCUCUGCAGAAUAUCUGUGCAUCAUCCUGUUAGUUUUAUAGGCUUAUUUCAUGUACUUUGGAUUUUCAUUGGGUAUAUUCCCCACUCUCUUUUUGAACUUUUCACAUGAGAAGAUCUCUGAACUUGUGUUUUUCACUUUUUCGUAUUCGAUAGAAGCAAGCACAAACCACUUGGUUUUAUUGUAAAUUUGUAACCGUUCAAAAUAUAGUCCUUAGACUACAGAACAAGUUUCCUUACAUGAAAACUUGAUUAAUUGACAAUAGGCUGUGUCGA